rnacentral:rRNA from 1 species
UUUCAAUUUAUUUAGAUAAUAUAAUAGGACAACUGUUCGCACUAGCUAUAUUAACAGUAGCAGCGUCAGAAUCAUCAAUUGGUUUAGCAAUACUUGUUGUUUAUUAUAGAAUUCGCAAUACAAUUACUAUAGAGUUAAUGACUCUUACAAAAGGGUAAAAUUAUUAAUUUGUUCUUAAAUAUAAAUAAUUUUAAAAGUUAUCAAAGGAAAUCUUGAUAGAAAAAUAAAGACGUCGCGCGACGAAACAUCAUAGGAAGGCACUUGCUUAUGAACUAUGAGUCUUUUUAAGAAAACUCGCAUUUAAUAUGCUUAAUAACAUUUAUGUGAAUUGAAUCAUCUUAGUAACAUAAUAAAAAAUCAAACGAGAACUUGUAAGUAACGGUGAGUGAACACAAGCUUAGCAAAAUGUUGAAAUCCAGAGAAGGUGUCUCAAGUCCUUUACAGCAUUAAUAAGAAUACAAAGUAGUAUGAUUAACUUUUGUACGAAAAUAGGAGUACCAUCUUCUAAGCUAAAAAAUUUUUCUAAUCGAUAGUGAACGAGUACCGUGAGGGAAAGAUUUAAAUUUGUUAAUUUAUAUUUAUUUGAAGUUGAUGAAUGCAACUACAAAGUGCCUUUUGCAUAAUGAGUCAGUAAGUUAAUAUAUGUAGCAAGCUUGAAAAUAUUUAGGCAUUCUAAGUUACAUGCAUUAGACCCGAAGCCAAGUGAUCUAUUCUUAAACAAGUUGAAGAUGUUUUAAAAUGCAUUGGAGGGCUGAACCCACGUCUGUUGAAAAAUACGGGGACGAUUUAAGAAUAGGGGUGAAAGUCCAAUCAAACUUGGUGAUAGCUGGUUUUCCGCGAAAACUAUCAAAGUAGUACGUUGCUUUUCAAAAAUGUGGGUAGAGCUACUUAUUAAACUUAGAUUUUGCUAAGUUUUAUUAAACUCCAAAUUAUAUUUUUAUUUAGCAGCAGACAGUCAUUAGGCGAUAAGGUUCAAUGUCAAAAGGGAAACAACCCUAAUCGAUGGUUAAGAUCUUAAAAUUAUGAAUUAGUGAAAAAAUGAAAAGUAAUUCGAAUAAACAGAGUAGGCUUAGAAGCAGCCAUCUAUUGGAGAAAGCGUUUUAGCUCAUUAUUUUUACUUAUUUUACUCAUUUAAAAUGUAAGGAGACUUAAAUUCAUAUAUCGAAGCUUCGAAUUAAGUUUAAUUUUUCUUAAUGGUAGCGGAACGUCCUGUAGUCUUUUCUGUUAAUGUUAAAUUGCAUAUUAAAAAUCAGGAGUGCUAAUGCUGACAUGAGUAGCGUCAACCAUGUUGAAAAUAAAUCAUGGUCGUCUAUUGCUCAAGGGUUUCCAGUAAAUUUUAAGUAACUGGGUUUAGUCGGCCCUUAAAAAAAAAGUGAAAACUGUACUUGAUAGGAAAAUUAUUCCGCAUGUUUGCAAAAUAUUUUUGUGUAAAAAAGUACUUUUAAAAGUUUUGCUUAAUAAACUAGCAACUUAAAAAAAGUAUUUUUCAGGAAAAUUUGCAUGAAGUUUGACCGUACUUAGAACCGACACAGGUGAGCUUAUUGAGAAGAUAAAGACGAAUGAGAUAAUUAUACUUAAGGAACUCGGCAAAUUUGCUCCGUACGUUCGCAACAAGGAGUACCUUAAAGGAUUCAAAAAUUAGGGGUAGCGACUGUUUAACAAAAACUCAAAACUUUGCAAAUUCGAAAGAAGACGUAUAAGGUUUGACGCCUGCCCAGUGCUUGAAAGCGAAAAAUACACGUUAACGCUUGUAUCAUAAACUCAAGUAAACGGCGGUCUUAACUAUAAGGAUCCUCAGGUAGCGAAAUUCCUUGGCGGGUAAAUUCCGUCCUGCAUGAAUGGCGUCACGACUACCCCACUGUCUCUAGUAUAAACUCAGCGAAAUUACAUUGUCUGUGAAAAUGCAGACAUCCUACAACAAGACGGAAAGACCCUAUGAUUCUUAACUAUAAUUUUACGUCGCAAUAAUUUUGUGUACAGUACAGUAAAAGUAGGAGUAUACUUAUACAAUUUUGAAAAACUACUCUGUACAUAAGAAAUUGCUUACUGAAGAGAAAAUAUGUAAAAGUGGUAGUUUACUUGGGACGAGGACCUCCUAAACUGUAACGGAGGUGCACAAAAGUAAAUUUUAAUUAGUUUUUUGUAU